rnacentral:lncRNA from 1 species
AGUCAGGGUUGCAUGAAGAAUACUUCACCUGAGUUUGAGGAGUUUGCAGCCACUUUCAGGGCCAGGAGGAAGUCACUGGUCUCCUCUGCAAAGUUACAAAGUUUCCAAACGCCCGCCUGGCCAGACUUUUCCCGGCUGCUCCUGGAGAUGUUUGGAAGUGAACGGCAGGUGUUGUGAUUGUUUUGCGAAGCACCUUGUGCAGCCCAGAAGAGAAUCUUUACUUCCUCCACGCCUUCCAGUCCAGGGCCAUGCCAGUGUGUGCAGACAAUGGUUGGCGGGGACUGACCACAGACUCAGUCCCACGCAGCUUUAGAUACAUUCAAAAGGUCGUCUUGACCUUGGACCUGGGGAUGCUUCAGAGCCUCUGCCACCUGUUGGGGGCUUCUCAGGCAUCCAUGGUUCCACUGACACAGGCAAAGUCUAGAUUCCUCCGUGUGGUGCCCUUGGCCUUCUAGGACCUGGACUGCCUGGCCUUCAGACCUCCCUGUACUGGCCUUGGAGGCCCUCCCUUCCCCCAGCUCAUUGCCGCAGCCCCCAGGACCACAGUGUGCUGUGUUUCCAGGUGUUUGGGAGAGGUGGUCUCCCUGCCUAGCAAGCCGGCUCCACCCCUCGCCCUCCUGAGUCCACCAUGGGGCCCACGACUCUCAGGCAGGUCUUUCUGUCCUGUCUUUGUCCUGGUGGACACCUGCCAGCAACUUACCACCCUCCUCCGAGAGGCUGCUUUAGGCUCUGGGUGUUCAGCAUCUUUAGUUUCCGGAAUAUACAAGACACAGAAGCAGGAAGCUGGAGCUUGAGGAGAAUGAUGUCCCUGCCUUGGGGCUGGUUGUUGACCGAAGACAGGACAGAAGGAGCAGCCCCUUGCUGGGAUCUCCCAUUCGAUGAGACCAACCAGAAAUGGAGAUGCUGGACUAGGUGGAGAGGCUGAAGAAAGUAACCAAGCAGUGGGGCUUCUGUGGAUGCAGCCUGCAUUUCCCCCUGAGCAACGGCUGGUACGAAGCCCAGCAGCCCAUUUUCACGAUCCUGCUGCCUCUGUUUAAUCAGAAAAUGUCCCUGUCCUGGACAUCUUGGUGUGUGGCUUUAUUUCCAACUGGAUGCCUCCUUUUCUCUAAACUUGAAGCGCCUGAACAGCCCCACAUUUGGGGUAACUGUCCCUUGCUCUUUGCUUGUAUUUCCCUGACCUUGAAAGAGCCAUUUUCCAGGACUGUCACUAAUGGAUCUUCACGCAAUGACAAUAAAAUAUCCCAGCGCUCGAGAAAAGAAAGGAGA